GACAUGUGUAGUCCCAUUGCAGUCCUAUUAUACCCAAAUAAAUAUAUUUUUGUUUUAUACAGCCACUCUCUAUUUGUUUUUAAAGUUGACAUAGUGUCCAGAAGUGGGAUCUGGCACAAGAUCACUUUAGAAAAGAACUGGCAACUCUUAGAAAGGGAUUGAAGAAUUCACUUGAGCCCUUUCAGCACUCCACUUCCUCAACUCACCUUUUCUCCCCUGGUGCGUCUUCUCUGAGGCUGAGCCUCCCUCCCUUCUGUUUGGUAGAAGCUCUAGACAUUAUUUGGAAUCUGAUUUGGAAAUACAACUUCUACCAGAAUAAUGCUGGCCCAGCUCUUUGAGAUAAUAACGAAAGACUGUUGAAGAGAUAAAGUUGAAGUGAAUAAUGAAAUCCAGGAUCCAAUGAACAGAAUAUUCCACAAAAGAGUGAAAAAUCCAAACUUAAGGAGCAUUACUUUGAGAAAGUUGAAAGAAAAAAACAGUUGUAAAACAUGUAGAGAUGUUCAAAGAUCUAAGAGUAGGAUCAAAACACCAAUCAACCUUCUUCUCUUCUCCAACUCAUCAAAUCUCACAGAAUGA
rnacentral:lncRNA from 1 species